rnacentral:rRNA from 1 species
UACGGAGGGUGCAAGCGUUAUCCGGAUUCACUGGGUUUAAAGGGUGCGUAGGUGGGCUUGUAAGUCAGUGGUGAAAUCUCCGUGCUUAACAUGGAAACUGCCAUUGAUACUAUAGGUCUUGAAUUAUCUGGAGGUCAGCGGAAUAUGUCAUGUAGCGGUGAAAUGCUUAGAUAUGACAUAGAACACCAAUUGCGAAGGCAGCUGGCUACAGGUAAUAUUGACACUGAGGCACGAAAGCGUGGGGAUCAAACAGG